GUGCGGCGAUGAACCUCCGGGAAAGACGCUGGGAGGCCAGGAUGCCCGGCGCAACUGGACGCUCAUCGGGAGUCACGGGGUCGGCCCUCAGGGGAACGGGGACUAUCCGUAUCAACUCGGUGUUUGUUCGUUUUCUUCACCUUGCGGUUUGUGCCCUCUCCACAUUUCCUCUCUGUGUCUACCAUUCUCCUGGGGGACGUGGCAAACCGUGAGCCGCUGCGUUUGAGUUUUGGGAAACCCUGCGGAAACGCCCUGGCGCCGGUGGUUUUGCGCGUCCUACCCUGUGUCACCUCAGGGUUAUGAUCUGGCCCCUGGCAAGGCUCCCCAAGUGUGAUGCCUCCCCCCGUCCAGAUGACUGCAUUUUGAGGAUGGAGUCAGUCUGGUGGCAUUUUUUGCUUAAGUAAACAAUUGUAACCGUUUGUGUAGCAUCAGCGUUCAACAGCUGCCUGUGCAAAUCGAAAAAAGCGAAACUUUGGAAACUAGGAAGCAUCAGAUGAAUAAUUCUGAAGACUUGAUGUCAACGGGAGUAUCUUGUUUUUAAACUUUUGGUUUUCUGUUCUGGAGACAAACAGUUCAUAUGCACUAAAGAAAAAAGUGUCAUUAUUUCAGAUGCUCAUUGCCAGCAAAGAGAACUGUAUUGCAAGUCAGGCUUCACUCCCAGUAUUUUCUGAAUGUUUCAAUAAAAUGAAAUAUAUACGUCUGCCUGUGUAUUGGUGUACAUGCACAUAUAAUUGUACAUAAACCAGAGAGGAGCCCAAUUUUUUUUAAUGCUUAGGUAAUAGAAAAUUUGUAAAUAAAAACCCUUGGCUUUUGCUAGUCAUGGACCUUUUGUAUCCCCCCGCCAUACUCCCCCAAUAGUGCCAUAGACACAGUGUCGUGCAGUAAAUGUUUGUGGUAUGACAACCAACGAACGACUUUUGAAGUUGACGCUCUUUGCCCGUUGAAUCCGAUGCUUGCUUCUCUCUGGGGAACUCCAAGGGGCAAAUAUUUAAAAAACUUCCAAAUAGCAAGCCACUUAAUUAGGGAGCCGGGGGAAUUCCAAGACCCUGAACCAUUUCCCAUUUCCUGUCUGUGUCAUUUCUGCCUGCCAGUCAGUCACAGAACAGGAGGUCUACUGUUCCAAUGUUAAUAGUCAAAGAAAGUGAGUGUAACAGUUUGUAAUACAGAGAAAAGAAAUGCCAUGGCUCCCAAUGACUAAAAACUUCCAAAAAUGCACCUGGGGCUUGGUAGUAGUUUAGUAUUUAGUUCAAGUCACUAUUUCUCGGAAGGUUUACAGAACAUUCCUAACACAUGUGGGAAAAUAUAUAUAGCAAGAAUUGUUCAUUCUGAACUCAAGAUUAUUUCUCUUUUUCAGUUCUUGUCCUGACCAAAGCAGUAAGAUAAUGAAUAUACUUAAGUAUAGGGGAAAGCUUGCAUUUCAAAAACUCAAAAG
rnacentral:lncRNA from 1 species